CUUUUUACAAACUUUAAAUUAGAAAUGCUGCGGCAGCGAGGAAAACCUCACACGGCGUCGUCGCGCGUCGACCGGACUCUCGGCAGAGGCUGCACCGCGAGUAACAUCGCCUCCACCAUGCCACGAUGCUGCGUACUAACACUAGCUGUGUGGUGGGAACAGGAUUCUCGGCCAUCGAGCCGCGUAAGGGCCGCGCGACCGGACCGCGUAGCGCAAUCUGGCGCGAUAGCGACACACUCGCUAAUGGAACGCCGCAUGAUAAGGGGCUCGAUUACCGGUUUUGGGAAUACGUUCUCCGGUCUGACUGUCAGUCGUGUAAACGAAGAAGGAAGCGCGAAGGAGGAUGUAAAGAGAACACGCGGACCGAUAAGAGCGGGCUGCUGUGCGUCGACCGCCGUCGCUUCCCGAAAGCGUAUUAUUAAUUCCACGCAAAUAUGAGAAAGAGUAUCGUCGCGAGCGCACAUUCAUUCCCUAACUAGGGUUUAGGACUCUCCAAUAAUGAAAAACAAGGGAAAACCUGAGAAUCUUGAAAUAAGCAAACGCGACGAAUUCGCGAGUGACGAGACGACCAUCGCUUGGAUCGCUAAGGGAGCUUUUACAAGAACUUUUACAAUGAUGAUGAAGACAAAUCAGGAAGUUUCUAGGGGGUCAAUUCUGUAUCUUGCAAUGCAGUGAAAACCGGUGGGUAAACCGCAGAAGGCAUUGUGGUGUGCAGAUUUACAUCACUAUCCAGCAAACAUAGAACAUUGCGGCAUUUUUCGGUAUUAAGCAGCAAUGUGCUUUCUGCAUCUAGAAGAAUUCCAUUUUAUGUAAACAAAUCGAAACGCUUAACAAACUUGUCGACAAUUUACGAUUGUACAAUGCACAAUUGAUCAACUUGCCCAAAUGUUGUAGACAUAUUUAUUGACUAGGAAAUAGAAUGUUUCUGGACGCAAAGGACAAGUUGUAGAUUAACCUUUGAGCUUCGCUGGGGCAUUAGAAAGCUAAAACAACAUGACAAGAUAAAGUAAUGCUGGUUAUUAGUAGGCAAGUAAAUGAUUUUGGUCAGUGGUUUACUCCUCGGCGAGAUGCUAAAAGGCUUUGUCUCUUUCGAAGGGGACGACUGGGAAUUAUUCACUUUCAAUAUUUCCACUGCAGUAUUGUAAGACACAGAAUUGACACCUAGAGCGACGAAAUAACCCAGCGAGAAAUGACUCGUCGGUCGAUGCCAAAUCGACAUAGACGAAUCGUGCCUCACUGGGAAGCGUGUCUCAGUGUCGAGGAGGCUCGUAUUGAACGGUGGUGUUGCGCAAAACACACAUAGCGAGCAUGUUUAUAUUUCAACCACCCUCGUAAAUUUCGACGCUAGAAUCGAGAGCCUUGUCCCUUCUCGGUCCGGUCCGGUCUUUCGACGCCUCGGCGAAAGGUGCCUGUACUUACGGAGAUCGAGGCACGCUCGGGGAACGGCGAAGCAGCCUCGCGACACUUUCCCUCCCUAGACUUAUCCGCGAGAACAAAGGAAGUUGGCGCGUGUUUACACUCGCACACCUCCGGUCACUGGGAGGAAGGGAACGGCACUUGCAACACUGGCAUCGGAAUCCGGCGAACGCCUUCGGCCGACGCGGAUUCCUAGCGCACGUAACGCACACACAAGCUCGGCGCACCACCAACCGCACCGGUCCGCACUGUCCGCAGCCGAGCGAGCGAAUUCGCUGCGCGUUCGUUUGGCUAACGGCCGCGAGCCGUUUGAUAAACUUGAAUGCGAACGCGGCGACGAAUCAGGAGGCGCCGUUGCGUUCGGUCGGCCGACACCGCGGCGCCACUCGGCACUUCCUGUCGCGGUCGGUAAGACAGGACUAUCGAACGCGCCGCGAUAUUAAUCGAUAUUAAUCGCCGUUCAAUUUGAAACGACGAGCCGUUCCCGCCUGUUUCUUGCCGCGCUCAUGUCCCCCCUUGGAUUCGUUAGCGUCUAAAACCUGAUCGGCGAGAAGGAGGCCCGGAGAAAUAAGUUGCUCCGACAAGGACAUAAGUUUGCAAAAUAUUUAUUGUCAAACUCAUCAUACAAAUACAUAUAAACCGCCACGUUACUAUAUGCCAGGCAGCGCAAAUUCACCACAAAAUUUUAAUGCUAAUUUAAAGAUUAUUAGUCUUUGUUUUAUAUUCUAAUUAACCGUCAUACUCAAUCCUUUCAUUCAUCCCUCACCAUUCGCUCUCAAUUUAAGGAUAUAGAUUUUGUUUCCGGUAGAAUUUCUUAAUAUACAUAAUAAAAAUGCAUUCAUCCAGCCAGGUAACGCACUGCUGCAAUACAACGUAUUACAAUAAAGCGAGUUCUAUAAAAGAAUACUAUUCACAAUGCUCUCUUUCAAAAAACCAGAUAGAAAUAAUUAUUUAAGGACACUUGCGUGCACUAAGUGUUUCUCUUACGUUUGCAAAGUUUAUAAAAUAGUAAAAUUAAGUUGAGCCUAAUCCGUAAAUGCGCGACAGGUGUGAAACUUCACUGCACUUCAUUGUAUUUUAUCAUCACAGAAAGCAGUUAUGUGUGAUUGCCACUUGAAAUCAUCAACUUUCUGAACAGGCAUUUGUGAACCAUGCAAAGGCACUUUCUCCGAGUGUCUCUAAUAAAAUAAGUGAUGCU